rnacentral:tRNA from 1 species
GAUUCCAUAGUUCAGUUGAUUAGAGCGUAGCACUGUUAAUGCUGAGGUCGGUGGUUCGAGCCCGCUUGGGGUCG